rnacentral:rRNA from 1 species
UGUAUGGUUAAGUGACUAAGCGUAC